GCGGUGAUCCCAGCAAGCUGGCGACAUAGGAAACAAAUGUGAACUGAAACUCUUUAAUGCCAUUGAAUGUUGUCGAUUUCUAUGCGUAUUUUCCAGUAUUGCAGCCUUGUAAAAUCCAAGUAGUGUCCCCCCCGCCAUGCUGAAGGUGGACCUGUGCAGCCAGGAAUGCUAAAGUCUUGGGGCAAGAAGGAGAGGAGGCACGAGAGAUCCUGAUCUGUAGUUCAGUGGAUACAAUCCUGAAGUGGGAACGGGGAGAGACAAUUUUCAUCCUUGAAGUCCAAGUAAUUUCUUGGGACUUUGUUUUGGGGCUUUAUUCCUUCAAUGACUCUCCAAAGAAAAAUGCAGAAGCAGUCCAUGGGACAAAAUGCCAGGAAUGCUAUUGGCUUCCUUCUGGAGAGAUCUGUUUACACUUGAAAUGGAGCAGGCCAGGUUACUCUGGCCCUCCCAAGGCCAGGAUAAGAGCAGACUUUAAACCAGGACUGUGUCUUUGGACCCCAACAGACUACCCCUGAGAAGCUUUUAGAAGAAGCAUAUCAGAAAGGUCCCAAAUCUUGUGGGGACUCCGAGCUCCCUUCCAGGCGUGGAGGGUGAGCUACCCGGGAGCUGAAGCCAUGAGGGGCUGAGCUGGCCCUGCUUCUCUGAUGAGGGCAUGUCCCGCAGAAAUUACCAGCAGGAAGGACUGAUCGUGCCAUAAGGUACCACUCCAAACUCCCACUGAAGCUGAUGGGCUCUUUGGAUGCAAAUCUCAAGGAAAAUCCAGUUGGAAAAAAAAAAAAUUCAAUCUAUUUGGAACUAUAUAGAGGGAUUUAUGUUUCUAUG